GGAAAGUGCUUAGAGUACUUGGGUUGUGGGCAUCUCCCUGCGGAGGUUUCCAGAAGAGCACUGCAAUGGAAAGAAGCCAGCCUGCACGAAGGAGAGAGUCCUGGACUGGAACUCAAGCAGCCCAAGGUCCUGGCUCCAGCUAUGCUGCGUUGCCCUGAAGAAAUGUCUCUACCUCACUGGAAUUCAAGUCUUUAUCUGCCAAAUCAUCUCCAAGUUCUUAACUCGCUCACUGAUUUAGGAAAAAGCCUUUCCACAAGAAUAGCUAUCCCAUGUCUAAAAUAAAUGUUUGUGAAGCAAAGAAAGGUAGUCAGAUUGGCCCAGAAUAUUUGGAACAGGUGUAGGUGUGGAUAAAAGAAAGGAAUUGGAAGUCUUUUUCCUUUGGUCCUGAUUCAAUACUUAAGAUUCAAAUUUCAGAGUGUUAUAAAUGCAUUUAUCUUUUGUCCCAGCAGUUCUGCUCCUAAACAUUUUCCCUAUAGUUAAAACAAACUUAUCAUGGAGCUCUUCAUUACAAC
ensembl:lncRNA